GCGUUAGUUACUUCAAACCGAUCUGUCUUCGGACGGCUUCCAAGUGAGAUUGAACUAUUUAGCUGAGCGCACGGUCUAAGCACCGGCGCCAUAUCCUUCAAAUGUCUGCCUUAUCAACUUUCGAUGGUAGAUUAUGCGCCUACCAUGGUUGUAACGGGUAACGGAGAAUCAGGGUUUGAUUCCGGAGAGGGGGCCUGAGAAAUGGCCACCACAUCCAAGGAA
rnacentral:rRNA from 1 species